rnacentral:rRNA from 1 species
CGUGUAGGCGGCUUGACAAGUCAGAUGUGAAAUCCCUGGGCUUAACCCAGGAAGUGCAUUUGAAACUGUCUGGCUCGAGUAAGGGAGAGGAAAGUGGAAUUCCUGGUGUAGAGGUGAAAUUCGUAGAUAUCAGGAGGAACACCGGUGGCGAAGGCGACUCUCUGGCCCUAUACUGACGCUGAGACGCGAAAGCGUGGGUAGCAAACA